rnacentral:rRNA from 1 species
UGGGGAAUAUUGCACAAUGGGCGAAAGCCUGAUGCAGCGACGCCGCGUGCGGGAUGAAGGCCUUCGGGUUGUAAACCGCUUUUAAUUGGGAGCAAGCGAGAGUGAGUGUACCUUUUGAAUAAGCACCGGCUAACUACGUGCCAGCAGCCGCGGUAAUACGUAGGGUGCAAGCGUUAUCCGGAAUUAUUGGGCGUAACGAGCUCGUAGGUGGUUUGUCACGCCUGGUGUGAAAGUCCAUCGCUUAACGGUGGAUCUGCGCCGGGUACGGGCAGGCUAGAGUGCAGUAGGGGAGAUUGGAAUUCCCGGUGUAACGGUGGAAUGUGUAGAUAUCGGGAAGAACACCAAUGGCGAAGGCAGAUCUCUGGGCUGUUACUGACGCUGAGGAGCGAAAGCAUGGGGAGCGAACAGGAUUAGAUACCCUGGUAGUCCGAUGCCGUAAACGGUGGAUGCUGGAUGUGGGACCCU